GGGGAUGUAAUGGUUUCGACGGGAGUCUUGAAAGUAGGGAUAGCCAUCCGCAGCCCGGUGAACUGCGUCAUCAAGCCGGAAACUUUUAAAAAAGAAACGACAAUAAUAAAUUAGCAUACGCUGCCUAAUUGCGGCAGCUGUCAACCCCGGAUUUCCUACCGUUCGGGUGUUUGGCAUCGACUUGGUGGGGCACUUUUUUGCUUAAGCUUUGCGGCAAAAAAAGAUUCAUGAAGCUACUGGGACAUACAGCCUGUCUGUCGGCGGUAUGUUCUGGGAAUCACAAUAGAUAGACUGUGAUGGGAGAAGUCUUUACAGAUGGGUUUUCGGACAGGGGUUCGACUCCCCUCAUCUCCAU
rnacentral:tmRNA from 1 species